CUCUUCCUCUUGUAUUUUAUCCAGUCUCUUGGACAAACAUUUUUCCAGCAAGAAUUAACCAUUGAUGAAAGCAUAAAGGAACAGUUUAGUAUGUAUUGGAAACGUUUCAAGAAAACUCCUUCCAAUGCCAAGAAUCGACCCCACAAAAACAGGACGUGAUAGAACAACAUUCUCGCCUCCAGUAUCUCCGCUGGCAUCAUUUUAUAUCACACUUCUUCUUCUUAUUAUUAUUAUUCAUAUACACUCAGACUAUC
rnacentral:lncRNA from 1 species